CGUCCAGACUCCUACGGGAGGCAGCAGUGAGGAAUAUUGGUCAAUGGGCGCAAGCCUGAACCAGCCAAGUCGCGUGAGGGAUGACGGUCCUAUGGAUUGUAAACCUCUUUUGUCGGGGAGCAAGGCCCGCCACGUGUGGCGGGAAGGAGAGUACCCGAAGAAAAAGCAUCGGCUAACUCCGUGCCAGCAGCCGCGGUAAUACGGAGGAUCCGAGCGUUAUCCGGAUUCAUUGGGUUUAAAGGGUGCGUAGGUUGUUUUAUAAGUUAGCGGUGAAAUACCGAUGCUCAACAUCGGGGCUGCCGCUAAUACUGUAGGACUAGAGAUCGGAUGCAGCAGGCGGAAUGUGUAGUGUAGCGGUGAAAUGCAUAGAUAUUACACAGAACACCGAUUGCGAAGGCAGCUUGCUAGGCCGGAUCUGACACUGAUGCACGAAAGCGUGGGGAUCGAACAGGAUUAGAUACCCCCGUA
rnacentral:rRNA from 1 species